CUUUUCACAAAAACCCUUCUUUCUCUUUGUCUUUCUAAAAAUGGGGUUUCUCUCUCUAGAAACUCUUGUGUUAUUGCAUCUCUCAGUCCUUUUAUUGAGUUGUUUGAAUGUGCUUGGUAGUUAUGAUGGUGUAAUGAGUAUAGCAGAUACACCCGAUAAGAGACCUCAACCUCCUAGCCAAGAGACCGCUAAGCCACCGGUUCAACCAGCUCCAAGCCAUGCACCAACUCAACCUCCAAGCCAUGCACAAACUCAACCUCCAAGCCGUGCGCCAACUCAACCUCCAAGCCGUACGCCGAGUCCUCUGCCGCCGAGGAAGUUUGUAGCUGUGCAAGGUGUUGUUUACUGUAAGGACUGCAAGUAUUUAGGGAUCAAUACCCU
rnacentral:lncRNA from 1 species